AUGCUCUGGGCGCCCCACUACCGCUUUUUCUUUAUCGUUGGGUGAUUCAUCCAACGGUAGAAUGAAGAAGGAUAAAGGGAAGAAGGUGGCAAAGCGUGAUAUUCCACUCAUGUGGAUGUAUUCUAUGAAAGUCUCGGUUGGUCACCAGCAUGGAUGCUAUACGUGGAACCGAGCAAAAGGGCUCAAAACUAUGGGAAAAGAUC
rnacentral:lncRNA from 1 species